GUUUGUGAUAUGUUUUAGCUUGCGGGUCAUUGUUCACGCGUCUUAAGCGUGCUUGGGAAAGAGUAGUACUAUGAUGGGUGACCUUCUGGGAAGUCCUUGUGUUGCAUUCC
rnacentral:rRNA from 1 species